rnacentral:rRNA from 1 species
CAGGCUUAACACAUGCAAGUCGAGGGGCAGCAUGGUCUUAGCUUGCUAAGGCCGAUGGCGACCGGCGCACGGGUGAGUAACACGUAUCCAACCUGCCGUCUACUCUUGGACAGCCUUCUGAAAGGAAGAUUAAUACAAGAUGGCAUCAUGAGUCCGCAUGUUCACAUGAUUAAAGGUAUUCCGGUAGACGAUGGGGAUGCGUUCCAUUAGAUAGUAGGCGGGGUAACGGCCCACCUAGUCUUCGAUGGAUAGGGGUUCUGAGAGGAAGGUCCCCCACAUUGGAACUGAGACACGGUCCAAACUCCUACGGGAGGCAGCAGUGAGGAAUAUUGGUCAAUGGGCGAGAGCCUGAACCAGCCAAGUAGCGUGAAGGAUGACUGCCCUAUGGGUUGUAAACUUCUUUUAUAAAGGAAUAAAGUCGGGUAUGUAUACCCGUUUGCAUGUACUUUAUGAAUAAGGAUCGGCUAACUCCGUGCCAGCAGCCGCGGUAAUACGGAGGAUCCGAGCGUUAUCCGGAUUUAUUGGGUUUAAAGGGAGCGUAGAUGGAUGUUUAAGUCAGUUGUGAAAGUUUGCGGCUCAACCGUAAAAUUGCAGUUGAUACUGGAUAUCUUGAGUGCAGUUGAGGCAGGCGGAAUUCGUGGUGUAGCGGUGAAAUGCUUAGAUAUCACGAAGAA